GACGAAGGUGGCAAGCGUUGUUCGGUGUUACUGGGCUUAAAGAGUAUGUAGGCGGAAAGGUAAGCGUUUUGUGAAAUCCCUCGGCUUAACCGAGGAAUUGCUGGGCGAACUGCUUUUCUUGAGGCAAGUAGGGGUGCACGGAACUCUUGGUGGAGCGGUGGAAUGCGUAGAUAUCAAGAGGAACGCCAAUGGUGAAGACAGUGCACUGGGCUUGUCCUGACGCUGAGAUACGAAAGCGUGGGGAGCGAACGGGAUUAGAUACCCCCGUA
rnacentral:rRNA from 1 species